rnacentral:rRNA from 1 species
ACGCACGCUGGCGGCGUGCUUAACCCCUGCCAGUCGCACGGAAAGGCCCUGCUUUUGUGGGGUGCUCGCGUGGCGAACGGGUGAGUAACACGUGAGUAACCUGCCCUUGACUUUGGGAUAACUUCAGGAAACUGGGGCUAAUACCGGAUAGGAGCUCCUGCUGCAUGGUGGGGGUUGGAAAGUUUCGGCGGUUGGGGAUGGACUCGCGGCUUAUCAGCUUGUUGGUGGGGUAGUGGCUUACCAAGGCUUUGACGGGUAGCCGGCCUGAGAGGGUGACCGGCCACAUUGGGACUGAGAUACGGCCCAGACUCCUACGGGAGGCAGCAGUGGGGAAUAUUGCACAAUGGGCGGAAGCCUGAUGCAGCAACGCCGCGUGCGGGAUGACGGCCUUCGGGUUGUAAACCGCUUUCGCCUGUGACGAAGCGUGAGUGACGGUAAUGGGUAAAGAAGCACCGGCUAACUACGUG